GCAACGAAGCCCUUGAUUGGCGGCGGCUCCACAAACAUUUGCUGCUCAGGCUGGAGUCUAAGGGCUGAGGAUUCUCAGCCUCCCAGUCCAGGGCAGCAGCUGCCCAGAAGCCACCUCACGGCAGUGGACAUCUGUGCCCCCGUUUUGGAGACCUGGUGUGAUGAGGACACAUGGGCUGCAAUUAGCUGUUAGCAGGGCCGUCCAUGGACCACAGUCCCAGGAAGACGUUCUGCUCAGUUGCUCCGGAAGGGACCUAGGGUGCACUGCAAUUGCGGAGGGGUGGUUGCUGCUGAUCCCAGACCCCAGAGGGAGUUCCUGAGUUUUUAGCUUGAGUUGAGGAGCUGAUAAUGGAAGCUGCAGCAGCCCGUUCAUGGCAGUCCCAAAAGGAGGCAAACCACCUCCUCUCCGCUAAGGACAUCGGCCAAGUGCUGAGGCCAAAGGCCUGCAGAUGAACCCUAGUGUGAGAUGGACAGGCUGAGGCACAACACUAGUGCCAAACUGAGCCUUCGUUCUUUUCUUUAGCGAGACCUGGGAUUGAGCGUCACAAAGUCUAGAUUCUAUUUAUUCCACCGUCUCACAGUCUGGUAGCACAUGUCUGUGGGGAGCCCUCCUCACUCCUGUCUGAGCUUGGAAUCCUGGGACUAAGAAUAGCAGCGUGGCCCUGCUCUGCACAGGACUGGUGUGAGUGCCAGAAUGCUGAGUCUCAGGGCAUGUGGAUUGCACAUUCAUGGCAUGUGGAGGCCACGUGGGGUCUCAGACAGCACAGGUGAGGGAGCUCUGUGUCCACAGGGACCACGACAUUUUAUCACAAGGGGCACAGCACGCCAGCGUCCUCUCUCCCAGGAAGAGAGGCCCCAGGCUGUCUGCUGUUGGCUGAGAUGAUUGAGUCACUGGCCCUGCCGCACAGCUGGGGUCAGACACGGAGGCCAGGCUCUGCUCCAGGCUCUCUGGGGCCUUCUUGUCACCGGAUGCUGAGCAGAAGUGGGGUGACACAGAAUGCCCACACCCCACAAACUCCCUGGGAAGUCAGUGUCUCUGAAAGAUUCCAUCUGGGACAAACAGAAGCCAUCACUUGGUUAGAGUCCGCCCAUCACGGCUCUGCCUGGAAUGGAGACGGCCUGGACCCAGGUGUCAUCACUCUCUCUGCUCAUGGCCCCCAGAAUUUUGCAAAAUCUGUUUUAAAAGUUUCCUUGUAAAAGUGACCCGUCCUCCGUCAGGAGCCUGGGUCUCACUGGCCAUUUUAGGAGUGCAGCCUUCCCGAGCUCAGCAGAAUCCCUCCGUCACAGUGAGCACGGGUGGCACUGUCCUUCCCCUUCCUGGGUCCUCCCAGGCUGGCGACCCCUCGUGGCCUUGAUUCUACCCUUUCAAAAGUCCAGCUCCCACCGGCCCCUGCAAGGCGCGCUGCGGGGUCACCACAGGUCUGUCCAGGGCACGGUCAGGCCCAUGAGACCCCUUGUUCUAUAGGACGCUACUCUCCUUAAAAACAGGGACUUUGUCCCUCACUGAAUUGUAGUUUUCUGUAUCAUUCGUCAUUGCAGCUUUGAAGCAUCAAGAGUGUUUCCUAAAUAUGAUUAAAAUCUGGCCUUCAGACAGCUUUUGAAUUAACUGACAAAUGUAUGUUGGGCACGAAACGGAUUUAGGGACGUCUGCCCUGGGCUUUUACCAAACUCC
rnacentral:lncRNA from 1 species